rnacentral:rRNA from 1 species
UACGAAGGGGGCUAGCGUUGCUCGGAAUCGCUGGGCGUAAAGGGUGCGUAGGCGGGUCUUUAAGUCAGGGGUGAAAUCCUGGAGCUCAACUCCAGAACUGCCUUUGAUACUGAAGAUCUUGAGUCCGGGAGAGGUGAGUGGAACUGCGAGUGUAGAGGUGAAAUUCGUAGAUAUUCGCAAGAACACCAGUGGCGAAGGCGGCUCACUGGCCCGGUACUGACGCUGAGGCACGAAAGCGUGGGGAGCAAACAGG